rnacentral:rRNA from 1 species
GUCCACGCCGUAAACGAUGGGUGCUAGGUGUGGGGGGUGUCGACUCCCCCCGUGCCGAAGCUAACGCAUUAAGCACCCCGCCUGGGGAGGUACGGCCGCAAGGCUAAAACUACAAAGGAAUUGACGGGGGCCCGCACAAGCAGCGGAGCAUGUGGUUUAAUUCGACGCGACGCGAAGAACCUUACCAAGGCUUGACAUGCACGGGAAUGUCGGAGAAAUUCGGCAGCCCUUCGGGGCUCGUGCACAGGUGGUGCAUGGCUGUCGU